AAUGACACAUUCCGUAUGGUGGUGCUAUCUAAAGCUGUAAUCCUGCUCACAGCCGUGCUGAUAAAAUGUUCACGAAGCGUAGCUGGGAAUGUCAUUGACUCUGUGUCUUUUUUGUCCUUUGCUGCAAGUUACGGUGCCCUCUAUAGUUAGCUCUAUUUCUCCAGGUUUCACAGAGAAUGAUAGAACUGAGCUAUAAUUUCAUGUCAAGUUACAAAGCAGUAUUCCAAGUAUCCACACAUGUUAAUUUCAGGUGUGUGAAUGGAGUUGCUCAAUGGUUCAGAGAAUAGAAAAUGCAUCAGUGACCCCGUAGAUAAGUCUCUGGGUUAACUCUCCAACACCCCCAAAUCAAUAAAAGAUUUUCAAAAUGUCUCGACCGUAGGGCUGGAAUCAUAACUCACUAGGUAGGGCAUAUGCCUCGCCAUGUGCACCAUCCAGGUUUGAAUGUCUGCACCAGAUGGGAAGUGCUCUGGCCCCAGAGCUGAUAUCUCUCCCUCUCUUUGGGUAUUUAUUUAUUUUUAAAUGUUUAAACAUGUUAAUUUUUAGUUUCAUAAAGAAUUAGAUUUUGUCUUAACCAAGGUUCUUGCUGAUGGGGAAACUUAAGAUCAUCAAGCAGAGGCAGAUGAGUGUGUUUCAUCUCUGAAUACAGUUAGUCUGCUCUGGAGUUCCUGGAUCUUGGUGCUUACUGGGACUGGAUACUAGCUUAAGCUCUGUACUAAAUCCUGUUCCUGCCCAGUGAGGUUGGAGCUGUUUUUAUCAUGCUGAUGUACACGCGAGGAACUGAGGCAGUGAGUAGUAGUUUGCCCAAGGUCCAUUGUGGGUAGUGGGCAUAGGGUUUAUCAGUCACCCCAAAAGAAAGACUUGUUUGUUUGUUAUGAGAGAGAAGAGGACCAGAGCAAUGUUCCGCUCUGGUGUAAAGUGGUGCUGUGACUUAAACCUUUGACCUUUGAGUGCCUCAGGCACGCACGUUCUGUGCUCUGACAGGCUAAGCUGUCUCCCCGGCUUUUGAGAUUAGGGUUUGAAGCCAAAUCGCUUCACCCUGAAACCCAUGUAGUUGUUCUGUAAAGAAGACAGCUGGGGCGGGGAUAGACAGUAUAAUGGUUAGGCAAAGAGACUCUCAUGCCUGAGGCUCUGAAGUCCCAGGCUCAAUCUGCCCGCACCACCAUAAGCCAGAGCUGGGCAAUGCUGUGGUCUCUCUCUCUCUC